UACGUAGGGUGCGAGCGUUAAUCGGAAUUACUGGGCGUAAAGCGUGCGCAGGCGGUCUGUUAAGACCGAUGUGAAAUCCCCGGGCUUAACCUGAGAACUGCAUUGGUGACUGGCAGGCUUUGAGUGUGGCAGAGGGAGGUAGAAUUCCACGUGUAGCAGUGAAAUGCGUAGAGAUGUGGAGGAAUACCGAUGGCGAAGGCAGCCUCCUGGGCCAACACUGACGCUCAUGCACGAAAGCGUGGGGAGCAAACAGG
rnacentral:rRNA from 1 species